UUGAAAUACCCAGAAAAAGAAAAUAUCCCAUUGAAUCAGAUGAUCCUCCUCAGCCAUGGAUUGAUCCAGACAUGAUAAUUAACCUCAGUUUCCUCAUCUAUGUAAUGGGGAUAAUAAUAGCAUCUACUUCAAAAGCUGGGUAUGCCAUGUGACAAAAUUUUCAGCAUUUGGAAUGUAGUGGAAAAGACACUUGCAACUUCUAAGAAGGACAGUUACCUGCUCUUGGAUGUGGUCACAAGGGCAGGAGCUAGAUGAGUGACCUUGGACCAUGUUGAGUAUGGCAGGACAAGACAGAUAGAGCCUGUCUCCCAACAUGGGCUGCCAUAUUACUGAAGACUUUUGUAUAAGAAAAAAUGAAACAUCUUUAAACCAUUAUUAUUUUGGGUCUCUCUGUUAUAGGUGCCAAUUCAUUUCCUUAACUAAUCCUUUAGGAAUAUGCAUGUCUGAAAGAUGCUUCAUAAUGUUAUAUACAUGUAAUCAUUUAGUAGUUAUUGCCAAUAGGUUGGGAAAUAUACAAAUUCUAUUUGUGUCCUGUGGGUAAGUGGUAGCAUGCCAGAGAGCUCAAGAAC